CGGCGGACGGCUGAGUAACGCGUAGGAACAUACCCCGAAGUGAGGGAUAACUGCCCGAAAGGGUAGCUAAUACCGCAUAUGGUCUAAGGAUUAAAGCUUCGGCGCUUUGGGAAUGGCCUGCGUCCGAUUAGCUAGUUGGUGAGAUAAAAGCCCACCAAGGCGACGAUCGGUAGCUGGUCUGAGAGGAUGAUCAGCCAGACUGGAACUGAGACACGGUCCAG
rnacentral:rRNA from 1 species